rnacentral:misc_RNA from 1 species
GCUAUGUUCUUCAUUUAGUCUUGCCAAGCAAAGUAGAUCCACUUGUUAAUCUUAUGAAAGUUGAAAAGGUUCCUGAUUCAACUUAUGAUAUGAUUGGUGGUCUCGACCAGCAAAUAAAAGAAAUAAAAGAGGUUAUUGAACUCCCCAUUAAGCAUCCUGAACUUUUUGAGAGUCUUGGAAUAGCUCAACCGAAGGGUGUCUUGCUAUAUGGACCACCUGGUACGGGGAAGACACUGUUGGCUAGAGCAGUGGCUCACCAUACAGAUUGUACUUUCAUCAGGGUUUCUGGGUCUGAGUUGGUCCAGAAAUAUAUUG